rnacentral:lncRNA from 1 species
CUUUUGGGAUUUUUUUGUGUUUUUUUGAGGCAGGGUCUCCCUCUAUCACCAAGGCUGGAGUGCAGUGGUGUGUUCACAGCUCACUGUAGCCUCCACCUCCUGGGCUCACAUGAUCCUCCCAUCUCAUCUCCCACCACCGAUGGUGGGACUAUAGGUGUGUGCCACCACACCUGGCUAAUUUUUGUAUUUUCUUGUAGAGACAGGGUUUCUCAAUGUUGCCUCAGCUGGUCUUGAACUCCUUGACUCAAGCUAUCCACUUGCCUCAGCCUCCCAAAGUGCUGGGAUUACAGGCAUGAGCCACCGCGCCUGGCGGCAUUUUAUGCUUUCUUAAACUAGAGGAUAAGCAUUUUUUGCAAAGAAAAAAAAAAUGUUGUCCAAGUGAGAACUAAUAACACUACUGCCCAUAAAUAGGAAAUGGCUUUAACAGGAAAUGGUUUUGCAGAGAGCCCAUUUCUUCCUUUCCUCCAGGUUAAUUUGGGCUUGCAGAGUUUUCAGAUCUCCAUGGCACCGAUGUUUAAACACAGGCAAAAGUUUAAGUUUGCGACCACUCUUCGCUAUGUAGAAUUGCCCUGUGGGGUUCUAAAAAAUGAACUCCC